rnacentral:rRNA from 1 species
CCUACGGGAGGCAGCAGUGAGGAAUAUUGGUCAAUGGACGAGAGUCUGAACCAGCCAAGUAGCGUGAAGGAUGACUGCCCUAUGGUUGGUAAACUUUUUUUAUAAAGGAAUAAAACGAGGCUCGUGUGCCUUUUUGCAUUUACUUUAUGAAUAAGGAUAGGCCAACCCCGCGCCAGCAGCCCCGGUAAUACGGAGGAUCCGAGCGUUACCCGGAUUGAUUGGGUUUAAAGGGAGCGUAGAUGGGUUGUUAAGUCAGUUGUGAAAGUUUGCGGCUCAACCGGAAAAUUGCAAUUGAUACUGGCAGUCUUGAGUACAGUUGAGGUAGGCGGAAUUCGUGGUGUAGCAGUGAAAUGCUUAGAUAUCACGAAGAACCCCGAUUGCGAAGGCAGCUUACUAAACUGUGACUGACAUUGAUGCGCGAAAGUGUGGGUAUCAAACAGGAUUAGAUACCCGAGUAGUC